rnacentral:rRNA from 1 species
AAAAACUCAAAGGAAUACUAAGGCGCCCGUACCGGAAACCGACACAGGUGGGUGGGCAUGAAUGUGCCAAGGCGCGUGAGUGAAACCUCGUUAAGGAACUCGCAAUCUAGCCCCGUAACUUCGGAAGAAGGGGUGCCCACUUUUAGUGGGUCGCAGUGAAAUGGGUGUACCGACUGUUUAUCAAAAACACAGCACUCUGCUAAGUCGUAAGACAACGUAUAGGGUGUGACACGUGACCAAUGCGGAAAGAUUACGGUAAGUGGUUAGCGCAAGCGAAGCUACGAGCCCAAGUCCCCGUGAAUGUCGGCCGUAACUAUAACGGUCCUAAGGUAGCGAAAUUCCUUGUCGGGUAAGUUCCGACCUGCACGAAUCGUGUAACGAGUGCACCGCUGUCUCAACGAGGAGCUCAGCGAAGUUGUAAUGGCGGUGAAGAUGCCGCCUACCCGCAGCAGGACGGAAAGACCCUAUGCACCUUUACUGUACGCUGUUACUGUGUUUUCGAUUUUCAUGCUUAGCGUAAGUGGGAGACUUUGAAGCCAUUCUUUCGGGGAUGGCCGAGUCGUCAAUGAAACACCACCCUUGGAAAUUGGAAACUCUAACCCUCGCCCAUCAACUGGGGAGGGGACACUGGCAGCCGGUCAGUUUUACUGGGGCGGUAUCCUCCCAAAGAGUAACGGAGGAGUACGAAGUUUGGCUCAACCUGGUUGGCAAUCAGGUGACGAGUACAUGGAUAUAAGCCAGACUAACUGUGAGACCUACAAGUCGAGCAGAUGCGAAAGCAGGUCCAAGUGAUCCGGUGGUUGAAAGUGGAAUCGCCAUCGCUCAACGGACAAAAGGUACGCUAGGGAUAACAGGCUGAUCGAGUCCAAGAGCUCAUAUCGACGACUCGGUUUGGCACCUCGAUGUCGGCUCAUCACAUCCUGGGGCUGGAGAAGGUCCCAAGGGUCCGGCUGUUCGCCGGUUAAAGUGGUACGCGAGCUGGGUUCAGAACGUCGCGAGACAGUUCGGUCCUUAUCCGCUGUGGGCGCAGGAAAGUUGAGGGGUUUAAACCUUAGUACGAGAGGACCGGGUUUAACGAACCUCUGGUGUUCCAGUUGUCGUGUCAACGGCAGUGCUGGGCAGCUACGUUCGGAAGAGAUAAGCGCUGAAAGCAUCUAAGCGCCAAGCUCCUCCCAAGAUUGACUUUCCCUGAAGAGUCGUGGUAGACCACCACGUUGAUAGGCCAUAGGUAUAAGCGCAGUAAUGCGUUGAGCUUAGUGGUACUAAUAACUCGUCCGGCUUGAUCC